UGGGGAAUCUUGCGCAAUGGGCGAAAGCCUGACGCAGCGACGCCGCGUGGGGGACGAAGGCCCUCGGGUUGUAAACCCCUUUCGGCAGGGACGAAGCUAACGUGACGGUACCUGCAGAAGAAGUCCCGGCUAACUACGUGCCAGCAGCCGCGGUAAGACGUAGGGGACGAGCGUUGUCCGGAUUCAUUGGGCGUAAAGAGCGCGUAGGCGGCCCGGAAAGUCGGAUGUGAAACCCCGAGGCUCAACCUCGGGACUGCAUCCGAAACUUCCGGGCUAGAGGUAGGUAGGGGAGAUCGGAAUUCCUGGUGUAGCGGUGAAAUGCGCAGAUAUCAGGAGGAACACCGGUGGCGAAGGCGGAUCUCUGGGCCUUACCUGACGCUGAGGCGCGAAAGCUAGGGGAGCGAACAG
rnacentral:rRNA from 1 species